CGGCGGACGGGUGAGUAACGCGUGGGUAACCGUGCCUCAUACAGGGGAGUAACAGUUGGAAACGGCUGCUAAUACCGCAUAAGCGCACAGUACCGCAUGGUACGGUGUGAAAAACUCCGGUGGUAUGAGAUGGACCCGCGUCUGAUUAGGUAGUUGGUGGGGUAACGGCCUACCAAGCCGACGAUCAGUAGCCGACCUGAGAGGGUGACCGGCCACAUUGGGACUGAGACACGGCCCAA
rnacentral:rRNA from 1 species